rnacentral:lncRNA from 1 species
UGGAGGGAGUUAGGACCUCUAUCUAUAGGUGGUUCUAGAUGUACCCCUAAGGUUUUAAAAGGCAAAAAUUCUAAUGCGACAAUAAAAUCACUUAGGACUUUCAACACAUAAAAGGAGCAAUUGAAGUCUCAGAAUUUCCACCUUAAAAGAACAUAUAAGCAGCACGACUCAAGCACAGUUAAGGUCUUUUAUUAGACAAUGUCCUAAAGCAGGGUAUCUAAAUGAAUAUGCAGAAAUAGACAACCCUUUUUAAGGUUCAGAAGUUAUAUCCUAGCAGUUGCCUAUGGACUCUUCUUUAAAGCCUGUUAGGAUCAGAAGACAUUGAGCAAUAGAAACCGUUUUCAGGAAUGCAGUUUUGAAAACGCCCUAAAGGUUUG